GAUGAACGCUGGCGGCGUGCCUAAUACAUGCAAGUCGAGCGAACGGACGAGAAGCUUGCUUCUCUGAUGUUAGCGGCGGACGGGUGAGUAACACGUGGAUAACCUACCUAUAAGACUGGGAUAACUUCGGGAAACCGUAGCUAAUACCGGAUAAUAUUUUGAACCGCAUGGUUCAAAAGUGAAAGACGGUCUUGCUGUCACUUAUAGAUGGAUCCGCGCUGCAUUAGCUAGUUGGUAAGGUAACGGCUUACCAAGGCAACGAUGCAUAGCCGACCUGAGAGGGUGAUCGGGCACACCGGAACUGAGACACGGUCCAGACUCCUACGGGAGGCAGCAGUAGGGAAUCUUCCGCAAUGGGCGAAAGCCUGACGGAGCCACGGCGCGUGAGUGAUGAAGGUCUUCGGAGCGUAAAACUCUGUUAUUAGGGAAGAACAUAUGUGUAAGUAACUGUGCACAUCUUGACGGUACCUAAUCAGAAGGCCACGGCUAACUACGUG
rnacentral:rRNA from 1 species